GUGCCAGCAGCCGCGGUAAUACGUAGGGGGCAAGCGUUGUCCGGAAUUAUUGGGCGUAAAGCGCGCGCAGGCGGUCCUUUAAGUCUGAUGUGAAAGCCCACGGCUCAACCGUGGAGGGUCAUUGGAAACUGGGGGACUUGAGUGCAGAAGAGGAGAGUGGAAUUCCAUGUGUAGCGGUGAAAUGCGUAGAGAUAUGGAGGAACACCAGUGGCGAAGGCGACUCUCUGGUCUGCAACUGACGCUGAGGCGCGAAAGCGUGGGGAGCAAACAGGAUUAGAUACCCUGGUAGUCC
rnacentral:rRNA from 1 species